rnacentral:rRNA from 1 species
AACGAACGCUGGCGGCAUGCCUAACACAUGCAAGUCGAACGAUGCCUUCGGGCAUAGUGGCGCACGGGUGCGUAACGCGUGGGAAUCUGCCCUUGGGUUCGGAAUAACUCAGAGAAAUUUGAGCUAAUACCGGAUGAUGACGUAAGUCCAAAGAUUUAUCGCCCAAGGAUGAGCCCGCGUAAGAUUAGCUAGUUGGUGGGGUAAAGGCCUACCAAGGCGACGAUCUUUAGCUGGUCUGAGAGGAUGAUCAGCCACACUGGGACUGAGACACGGCCCAGACUCCUACGGGAGGCAGCAGUGGGGAAUAUUGGACAAUGGGCGCAAGCCUGAACCAGCCAUCCCGCGUGCAGGAAGACGGCCCUAUGGGUUGUAAACUGCUUUUCCAGGGAGAGAAACUUACGCACGUGUUGCGUGACUGACGGUACCCUGGGAAUAAGCAUCGGCUAACUCCGUG